rnacentral:ncRNA from 1 species
ACAAUGAUACUUCCGUUCCGUUUCGGGAUAAGCGGAGCGGCCCGGCGAGAACCGCGGGGAGGCUGGAACCCUAUG